GAGCCGCGAGGCCGCGUCUUUUUGGCGAGCGAAUAAUUCGGUGCGCGAAUUAUUCGCGAAUUCGUAUUUUUACCCAAAAAUACGCGUUUUUUUUCUGAAUUUUUCGAAAAAAUACGAAUUCGUCCGUUUAAUUCGUUUUUCCAAAAAUUCGCGAAUAAUUCGCGAAUAAUUCGCGAAUUAACUAACUAUGGUCUCGGCUGAGCCAGGGUUUGAAAGAUAAGGUGAUAGACUCUGUCGGAGUCUGUAUGACAAGGUGACCGGCUAUACCAGAGUCUGGAUGACAAGGCUGACAAGUCUCACAUCGACUG
rnacentral:lncRNA from 1 species